GCAAAAAGAGGUGGAAAUGCCUCAAGCACAGCAAGGCACGGAGAUCGAGUCAUGGAGGGGAAAGGCAAAAAGAGGUGGAAAUGCCUCAAGCACAGCAAGACACGGAGAUCGUUCCAGAGAGAGAGAGAGAGAGAGGGGGGGGAGGCGGGGCAAUCCUCCUAGUGAGAGAGACCAGGCGUCCUUACAGACAGAGAUAGGGGCCUCCUGCCGGUAAACCUUAAUGAUCAGAGGAUAUAUCUGUAGGUAUUUUGGGUACUUUUCCUUUUAGUGAGAAAAAAUCUUUCGAGCUCCAGCUGUUUUACGAACGUUUAAAAUUUAAAUCUCGAAAUAUGUAGUAUUUCUUUGGAUUAAUGGACAGCGGUUCUGACCUACUGCCGGAAGAAAAUGAUUUUGGCCUGAAAGGGCGAAAUCUCAUUAUUGCUUGCGCAAUGAUAGUCGUUGCCUUCGCCGUGGCCAUCUUAGUUUUCUCGGCCCAUAUUUUUUGGCAAACAAGAAAGAGAGCAGCUGUGGAGCCAGAGCCAGGGGUGCCAUACAUUGAGCUGGUUGUGGAAAAUGCACAUCCAUAACAAGAAGCAUAAGCCAUGCAUAUGUUGGACGACCAUUGAUUUGUUUGAAGAAAAUGAGGAUUCAAUGAAGGAAUGAGCUCAUCAUCUCCAUAUGAUGAUCGCUGGUAUCCAGAUUCUGGUGCAACUAAUCAACCAACCUCAGAUCUUACCAGCUUAUCACAAUCUGAUUACCAAGGCCAGGAUCAAAUCAUGGUUUUUUACCAAGGACCAACAGACCGGGAUAAUUCUCUGAUAGAAGGCCAAAGUAAAGGGUGACAUUAUCCCAUCUAACAGGCUAGAAUCAAUGGAGCACUAGGAGGAACUUUUAAAUAUUUUUCAAAUAGAGAUAAAACAGGUGUUGGAUUUGGUACUAUUCAACAUCAACAACAUAAG